rnacentral:rRNA from 1 species
UACGUAGGGGGCGAGCGUUGUCCGGAGUUACUGGGCGUAAAGGGCAUGCAGGCGGUCGGACGCGUUUCGGGUGACAGCGGGUGGCUUAACUACCCGAGUGGUCGAAAGACGGUUUGACUUGAGGACGCGAGAGGGACACGGAAUUCCGGGUGGAGUGGUGAAAUGCGUAGAGAUCCGGAGGAACACCGAAGGCGAAGGCAGUGUCCUGGCGAGUAUCCUGACGCUGAGGUGCGAAAGCCAGGGGAGCGAACGGG